rnacentral:rRNA from 1 species
GAGUUUGAUCCUGGCUCAGAUUGAACGCUGGCGGCAGGCUUAACACAUGCAAGUCGAGCGGAGUGAUGGUGCUUGCACUAUCACUUAGCGGCGGACGGGUGAGUAAUGCUUAGGAAUCUGCCUAUUAGUGGGGGACAACAUUUCGAAAGGAAUGCUAAUACCGCAUACGUCCUACGGGAGAAAGCAGGGGAUCUUCGGACCUUGCGCUAAUAGAUGAGCCUAAGUCGGAUUAGCUAGUUGGUGGGGUAAAGGCCUACCAAGGCGACGAUCUGUAGCGGGUCUGAGAGGAUGAUCCGCCACACUGGGACUGAGACACGGCCCAGACUCCUACGGGAGGCAGCAGUGGGGAAUAUUGGACAAUGGGCGCAAGCCUGAUCCAGCCAUGCCGCGUGUGUGAAGAAGGCCUUAUGGUUGUAAAGCACUUUAAGCGAGGAGGAGGCUACUGAAGUUAAUACCUUCAGAUAGUGGACGUUACUCGCAGAAUAAGCACCGGCUAACUCUGUGCCAGCAGCCGCGGUAAUACAGAGGGUGCAAGCGUUAAUCGGAUUUACUGGGCGUAAAGCGCGCGUAGGCGGCUAAUUAAGUCAAAUGUGAAAUCCCCGAGCUUAACUUGGGAAUUGCAUUCGAUACUGGUUAGCUAGAGUGUGGGAGAGGAUGGUAGAAUUCCAGGUGUAGCGGUGAAAUGCGUAGAGAUCUGGAGGAAUACCGAUGGCGAAGGCAGCCAUCUGGCCUAACACUGACGCUGAGGUGCGAAAGCAUGGGGAGCAAACAGGAUUAGAUACCCUGGUAGUCCAUGCCGUAAACGAUGUCUACUAGCCGUUGGGGCCUUUGAGGCUUUAGUGGCGCAGCUAACGCGAUACCUAGACCGCCUGGGGAGUACGGUCGCAAGCCUAAAACUCAAAUGAAUUGACGGGGGCCCGCACAAGCGGUGGAGCAUGUGGUUUAAUUCGAUGCAACGCGAAGAACCUUACCUGGCCUUGACAUANUANGAACUUUCCAGAGAUGGANUGGUGC